rnacentral:rRNA from 1 species
CUGGCGGCAGCUUACCAUGCAAGUCGAACGGUGUAUCUUGGAGCUUGCUUCAGGUGAGCAGUGGCGAACGGGUGAGUAACACGUGAGUAACCUGCCUCAAACUCUGGAAUAAGCGCUGGAAACGGCGUCUAAUACCGGAUAUGACAUCAAACCGCAUGGUUAUGGUGUGGAAAGUUUUUCGGUCUGGGAUGGACUCGCGGCCUAUCAGCUUGUUGGUGAGGUAAUGGCUCACCAAGGCGAUGACGGGUAGCCGGCCUGAGAGGGCGAUCGGCCACACUGGGACUGAAACACGGCCCAAACUCCUACGGGGGCAGCAGUGGGGAAUAUUGCACAAUGGGCGAAAGCCUGAUGCAGCGACGCCGCGUGAGGGAUGACGGCCUUCGGGUUGUAAACCUCUUUCAGCAGGGAAAAAGCGAAAGUGACGGUACCUGCAAAAAAAGCACCGGCUAACUACGUGCCAGCAGCCGCGGUAAUACGUAGGGUGCGAGCGUUGUCCGGAAUUAUUGGGCGUAAAGAGCUUGUAGGCGGUUUGUCGCGUCUGCUGUGAAAAUCCGGGGCUCAACCCCGGACUUGCAGUGGGUACGGGCAGACUAGAGUGUGGUAGGGGAGACUGGAAUUCCUGGUGUAGCGGUGAAAUGCGCAGAUAUCAGGAGGAACACCGAUGGCGAAGGCAGGUCUCUGGGCCACUACUGACGCUGAAAAGCGAAAGCAUGGGGAGCG